rnacentral:rRNA from 1 species
CCUACGGGUGGCAGCAGUGGGGAAUAUUGGACAAUGGGCGAAAGCCUGAUCCAGCCAUGCCGCGUGUGUGAAGAAGGCCUUCGGGUUGUAAAGCACUUUCGGUGGGGAAGAAAGCCUUGGGGCUAAUACCCUCGAGGAAGGACAUCACCCACAGAAGAAGCACCGGCUAACUCCGUGCCAGCAGCCGCGGUAAUACGGAGGGUGCGAGCGUUAAUCGGAAUUACUGGGCGUAAAGCGCGCGUAGGCGGUCUGAUAAGCCGGUUGUGAAAGCCCCGGGCUCAACCUGGGAACGGCAUCCGGAACUGUCAGGCUAGAGUGCAGUAGAGGAAGGUAGAAUUCCCGGUGUAGCGGUGAAAUGCGUAGAGAUCGGGAGGAAUACCAGUGGCGAAGGCGGCCUUCUGGACUGACACUGACGCUGAGGUGCGAAAGCGUGGGUAGCAAACAGGAUUAGAUACCCCGGUAGUC